AGGCUCCCAGGGCCUCGCUGCCCUGCGCCCUGCGCGCUGCCCCCGGGACCCCGGCUCCCCGCGCUGCCGCCCUCCUCGAGGGCAGGGCCAGCCCCGUCCGGUGGACGACGAACUUAUGGAACACCUAUGCUGACUCUCAGUGAGGCGACAGUGUUUACAAGAUGAAGGACAUGAAGAUACUAAUUUUAAUCUGCUCAUUUCACCCUGAAAACAACCUGUAAGCAGUGGCAGGGAAUACAUGUUCCAGAGAGAAAGAGAGGGUUUAGAUGCUCCCAGG